GCUUUUGGUAUUUUUGUAUAUCAAAAGAACACCUUUUCACAUUAUUUUGUAACAGAGAUAUUAAAACGGAAUGAUUUGGUGUGUAAAACUUCUAUGUAUGAAAGAUGUUUGAUUCGAACUUUGGCUGUGGCAUGUUAUCUAUAAGGUGUUACAUGUUAUCUAUAAGGUGUUACAUGUUAUCUAUAAGGUGUUACAUGUUGGAUGUAGCAUGUUACGGCUAGGGGGUGGCAUGUAACAGACAGGGUGUGGCAUGUUACACAUAGGAUGUUACAUGUAACAGACAGGGUGUGGCAUGUAACACAAGGUGUUACAUGUAACAAGUAGGGUGUGGCAUGUUACAUAUAAGGUGUUGCAUGUAACAGGCAGGGUGUGGCAUGUUACAGGUAGAGUGUAUGCAUGUUACAUGUAAGAGCAGAGUGAGAAUGAAAACAAUAAAGAUCUCAGGGAUACAUUGGUGUUAUCCAAUGUUUGUAAGAUUGUUUUUAGUUUCAUGUGUAUGACUGUGUCUACAAAAUCACCACCCAACAAAAAUGUGCUUUAGGUGUUGAUAAAUGUUCUGGGGAAAUAUUUGCUGUACUGCAUGUUUAAUGAAACAACUUAAAGCUUUCCUUGAAAUAAAAAAAAAAGGUUCAUUUUUCAACAAAUACGUGUAUAAAAGUUACAUUGCAAUGUAUGACGUCAGAAUUGUUUGUUUUAUAGUCAUAAAUAAAUAACUUUUAUGUGUUUAAUUACAAAAACCAACACAAUUUAUCAAAACAUAUUUCACUCUAUUAAAGCUUCAUCGGUUUAAUGACAUUUAAAUUUUUUACCCAUUUAUGAACAUAACAUAGUUGUGAAAGCAGAAACAUAAUAUUAUCUGUUAUAAUAUUAUACAGCAAUCACACCCAAUUUUCUGUUACUGUGUUAAAAUUAGCGCGUAACUCGUUGAAUUUCAUUUUAUUAUUGAAAUUUUGCCAUUGCUAAUAUACUGUUGAAAAAAGAAACUGAAGGGGUAUUUUUAUAUAAGCAAACUGUAACAAACUUCUCCAUAUGGAGAUUGUUUGUUAUGAGACUCUAAUAUGAAUAAUCCAUUAAUAUUCUUCAUGGGCAUUUACUAUAUAAAAAAACUUUUGAGUAUUUAUUUUUUUAAUAUGUGAUACUUAAACAAUGUUUCUUAGUGCAUCAAUUUUUUUAAAGAGAAUAAAAUUGUCAUUUUUAUGUUUUUAAGUAGAUUUAAGUUUAUUGCUCAUAUUCUUUUAAAACAUCAUCAAUUUUAGUAGUGUUUGAAAGUUGACUGUAUUGUUUUAAAAAUUUUAAAAUGAAAUUAUAUCAUUUAUUUUUUAAGUUAGAUAUUUUUUAAUGAAACAGAGUAGCUGUAUGUGUAAUUAUAAAGAUAAUUUAUGAAUAAAUGAAAGCAUUUUUUCAUUGAGAA